GGGGAUUUAGUUUAGUUGGGAAAAUACUGGCCUUGCAAGUCGGUGUCACGAGUUCGAGUCUCGUAAUCUCCA
rnacentral:tRNA from 1 species